GGAGAGGUGGUUUAGCAGUUAAGAAUACUGGCUGUCCUUCCAGAAGACCUGGGUUCAAUUCCCAGCAUCCACA
rnacentral:tRNA from 1 species